GGAAGUAGAGAGGAAGACAGGAAGACAGGAAGGGGGCAUAGAAAAGAUACCUUCCAAGGCAUAUUCCUGCCAGCGGCAUCUUUCUCUUUGCUAAAAUCGCCUUUCUUCUUUCCGUACAGGUGUGUACUGAGGAUCAGAAGGGCCUUGAGUUGCAAAGGGCUAGGGUGUUUCCUUUGGUGGAGCUGGUAUCGAGUUCACAGGUUGUAGCUCUGAUCUUCCUUUGAGAGUACACUGCGGUCUUCAGGAACAGACAUGACUCUUGGCUCAGCACAGCCUUGCUGGCCCUCUCCCCUACUGCCCAGUGUAUUUUCAUCUCUCAGGGAUUCCUCGAAGUCUUAUGUGGAGAGCUGCUCUCCUGGCCUUGGCGAUGAAGAAACAUUUCCCUUUUGAAAGCCAGAGUUUUGAAUGAUAAGCAUUGCUAAAGAGGAAGCAA
rnacentral:lncRNA from 1 species